rnacentral:rRNA from 1 species
CCUACGGGGUGCAGCAGUGGGGAAUAUUGCACAAUGGGGGAAACCCUGAUGCAGCGACGCCGCGUGAGUGAAGAAGUAUUUCGGUAUGUAAAGCUCUAUCAGCAGGGGAGAAAUAGCGACCUUUGGGUCGCCAGACGGUACCUGAUUAAGAAGCCCGGGCUAACUACGUGCCAGUAGCCGCGGUAAUACGUAGGAUCCGAGCGUUAUCCGGAUUUAUUGGGUUUAAAGGGAGCGUAGGUGGACGCUUAAGUCAGCGGUAAAAUUGCGGGGCUCAACCUCGUCGAGCAGUUGAAACUGGGUGCCUUGAGUGGGCGAGAAGUACGCGGAAUGCGUGGUGUAGCGGUGAAAUGCAUAGAUAUCACGCAGAACUCCGAUUGCGAAGGCAGCGUACCGGCGCCCAACUGACGCUGAAGCACGAAGGCGUGGGUAUCGAACAGGAUUAGAUACCCGAGUAGUC